rnacentral:rRNA from 1 species
GAUGAACGCUGGCGGCGUGCCUAAUACAUGCAAGUCGAGCGAACAGACGAGGAGCUUGCUCCUCUGACGUUAGCGGCGGACGGGUGAGUAACACGUGGAUAACCUACCUAUAAGACUGGGAUAACUUCGGGAAACCGGAGCUAAUACCGGAUAAUAUAUUGAACCGCAUGGUUCAAUAGUGAAAGACGGUUUUGCUGUCACUUAUAGAUGGAUCCGCGCCGCAUUAGCUAGUUGGUAAGGUAACGGCUUACCAAGGCGACGAUGCGUAGCCGACCUGAGAGGGUGAUCGGCCACACUGGAUCUGAGACACGGUCCAGACUCCUACGGGUGGCAGCAGUAGGGAAUCUUCCGCAAUGGGCGAAAGCCUGACGGAGCAACGCCGCGUGAGUGAUGAAGGUCUUCGGAUCGUAAAACUCUGUUAUUAGGGAAGAACAAAUGUGUAAGUAACUAUGCACGUCUUGACGGUACCUAAUCAGAAAGCCACGGCUAACUACGUG